rnacentral:rRNA from 1 species
UUCCGGUUGAUCCUGCCGGAGGCCACUGCUAUUGGGAUCCGAUUAAGCCAUGCGAGUCGAGAGGGUUCGGCCCUCGGCAGACUGCUCAGUAACACGUGGAUACCUAACCUUAGGUGGAAGAUAACCUCGGGAAACUGAGAACAAUAUUCCAUAGAUCUAGGAUGCUGGAAUGCAUCUAGAUUGAAAGUUCCGACGCCUAAGGAUGGGUCUGCGGACUAUCAGGUUGUAGUCAGGGUAAAGACCUGACUAGCCUACGACGGAUAUGGGUUGUGAGAGCAAUAGCCCAGAGACGAUAUCUGAGACACGAUAUCGGGCCCUACGGGGCGCAGCAGGCGCGAAAUCUUCACAAUGUGCGAAAGCACGAUGAGGGGAUCCCAAGUGCUGGCACGUAAGUGUCAGCUGUUUCUUAGUCUAAAAAACUGAGAGAGUAAGGGCUGGGUAAGACGGGUGCCAGCCGCCGCGGUAAUACCUGCAGCUCAAGUGGUGGCCGCUAUUAUUGGGCCUAAAACGUCCGUAGCCUGUUUAGUAAAUGCCUGGGUAAAUCGUGUAGCUUAACUAUACGACUUCCGGGUAGACUGCUAAACUUGAGACCGGGAGAGGCUAGAGGUACUCCUGGGGUAGAGGUGAAAUUCUGUAAUCCUAGGGGGACCACCAGUGGCGAAGGCGUCUAGCUAGAACGGGUCUGACGGUGAGGGACGAAGCCCUGGGGCACAAACCGGAUUAGAUACCCGGGUAGUCCAGGGUGUAAACGCUGCUUGCUUGAUGUUAGUUGGGCUCCGAGCCCAACUAGUGUCGGAGAGAAGUUGUUAAGCAAGCUGCCUGGGAAGUACGGUCGCAAGGCUGAAACUUAAAGGAAUUGGCGGGGGAGCACAGCAACGGGUGGAGCGUGCGGUUUAAUUGGAGUCAACGCCGGA